GUGGAGAUGGAGGUGAGCAUUGCAUUGAAACAACGCAGAUGAAGGAUUUGACUUUUCAGAUGAUCCGAGAAGCGGUCUGCCUUCCCGCAUCGAAACCUCUCUGUGGCCGCCGCUUCCGCUGUGGCUGUUGGUAACUACUUCAGGCGUACAGUACAAAAAUAAGAAAAAAUGAAGGCAUUUUUCGAAAAAGAGAGGCAUAGAUUGAGAGAGAGAAAUUAGGCAACGACUUCACUGUUAAUUAAGACUAGAUAUGUUGUUUUAAGGUUUAGACGAUGAGGGGAAUGUUGCAACUCCAGCUAUACAAGGAUGGUGGCCACAAAAUCGACGAGGAAUCCCUGGAUGAAAAGAUCUUGAGAAAGACAAGCUUGGGAUUAAUCAAUCACAAGGAACUUUUGGCUUAGGAAAAACACUCCCACUACUCUUGGCAUAGCUGCUGCUGCUGCUGCCGUUGGAACUCAUGGCUGCUGAUCUUGUAAGUCUCUCCUUUCACUUUCUGUAUAUAUAUGUGUGUGUAUAGAGUGAGAGAGAUUAAAUCUUUCUGUUAUGUGUGUUGUGAGAGAUAGUUGAAAGGGGAGGGGCUUUAUAUAGGAACCAAAUAUUACUUAAUUUUCUAAAAAAGAGAGAAAAUGGAAGUAUAUUAGAAGCAAUUUUGGUGCUUAUUCCUCUUUAUUUCCAGGAAAGGAAUGGAUGCAAUUCAAAUUUUUGGCUAAAUUUAUAUUUUUGUAGAUGAGAUUAAUGGUAUGUGCAUGAGCACACACACACACAUAUACAUGUGUGUGCGUGUGUCUAGGUCAGCUUUUUUAGUUUCUGCAUGUCCGAACUUAACACGGUACACGUUUUGUUCUGAGGUCUUUUUCUUUUUUACUCCCAAAACUAAAAACCUACACUUUACCAUUAGAGAUGA